rnacentral:rRNA from 1 species
AGCGAACGCUGGCGGCAGGCUUAACACAUGCAAGUCGAGCGGGCAUCCUUGUGGUGUCCGCGGCAGACGGGUGAGAAACGCGUGGGAACGUGCCCUUCGGUUCGGAAUAACUCAGGGAAACUUGAGCUAAUACCGGAUACGUGCGAGAGCAGAAAGGUUUAUCUGCCGAAGGAUCGGCCCGCGUCUGAUUAGCUAGUUGGUGAGGUUAUGGCUCACCAAGGCGACGAUCAGUAGCUGGUCUGAGAGGAUGAUCAGCCACACUGGGACUGAGACACGGCCCAGACUCCUACGGGAGGCAGCAGUGGGGAAUAUUGGACAAUGGGGGCAACCCUGAUCCAGCCAUGCCGCGUGAGUGAUGACGGCCUUAGGGUUGUAAAGCUCUUUUCUCCGGGACGAUAAUGACGGUACCGGAGGAAUAAGCCCCGGCUAACUUCGUG